rnacentral:rRNA from 1 species
GAUGAACGCUGGCGGCGUGCCUAAUACAUGCAAGUCGAGCGAACAGACGAGGAGCUUGCUCCUCUGACGUUAGCGGCGGACGGGUGAGUAACACGUGGAUAACCUACCUAUAAGACUGGGAUAACUUCGGGAAACCGGAGCUAAUACCGGAUAAUAUAUUGAACCGCAUGGUUCAAUAGUGAAAGACGGUUUUGCUGUCACUUAUAGAUGGUUCCGCGCCGCAUUAGCUAGUUGGUAAGGUAACGGCUUACCAAGGCAACGAUGCGUAGCCGACCUGAGAGGGUGAUCGGCCACACUGGAACUGAGACACGGUCCAGACUCCUACGGGAGGCAGCAGUAGGGAAUCUUGCGCAAUGGGCGAAAGCCUGACGGAGCAACGCCGCGUGAGUGAUGAAGGUCUUCGGAUCGUAAAACUCUGUUAUUAGGGAAGAACAAAUGUGUAAGUAACUAUGCACGUCUUGACGGUACCUAAUCAGAAAGCCACGGCUAACUACGUG